rnacentral:rRNA from 1 species
AUUGAACGCUGGCGGCAUGCUUUACACAUGCAAGUCGAACGGCAGCGCGGUCUUCGCUUUGGCGUCCGGUGGGCGACUGGUGGGUAAUACAUCGGUACGUGCCCAUCUGUUGUUUCUUGCUCGGCGACGGACGGAUUCAUACCCCAUUCGACCAUACGGUGUACGCGUGAGAGCUUCGGAUCUUCCGCUCUUGCGCGGUCCGAUGACGGAUUAGCUAGUUGGUGGGUUAAAGGGCUAACAAGGCGACGAUCCGUAGCUGGUCUGAGAGGAUGAGCAGACACAAUGGAAGUGAGACACGGUCCAGACUCCUACGGGAGGCAGAAGUGGGGAAUAGUGGACAAUGGGCGAAAGCCUGAUCCAGCAAUACCGCGUGGGUGAAGAAGGCCUUCGGGUUGUAAAGCCCUUUUGUUGGGAAAGAAAAGCAGCAGGUUAAUACCCCGCUGUUCUGACGGUACCCAAAGAAUAAGCACCGGCUAACUUCGUG